rnacentral:rRNA from 1 species
GAUGAACGCUGGCGGCGUGCCUAAUACAUGCAAGUAGAACGCUGAAGGAAGGAGCUUGCUCUUUCCGGAUGAGUUGCGAACGGGUGAGUAACGCGUAGGUAACCUGCCUGGUAGCGGGGGAUAACUAUUGGAAACGAUAGCUAAUACCGCAUAACAGUAGAUGUUGCAUGACAACUAUUUGAAAGGGGCAAUUGCUCCACUACCAGAUGGACCUGCGUUGUAUUAGCUAGUUGGUGAGGUAACGGCUCACCAAGGCGACGAUACAUAGCCGACCUGAGAGGGUGAUCGGCCACACUGGGACUGAGACACGGCCCAGACUCCUACGGGAGGCAGCAGUAGGGAAUCUUCGGCAAUAGACGGAAGUCUGACCGAGCAACGCCGCGGGAGUGAAGAAGGUUUUCGGAUCGUAAAGCUCUGUUGUAAGGGAAGAACGAGUGUGAGAGUGGAAAGUUCACACUGUGACGGUAGCUUACCAGAAAGGGACGGCUAACUACGUG